rnacentral:rRNA from 1 species
CCCUUAGAUGUUCUGGGCCGCACGCGCGCUACACUGACUACUUCAACGAGUUGUUUCCUUGAUCGAAAGGUCUGGGUAAUCUUUGAAAGGUAGUCGUGAUGGGGUUAGAUCCUUGCAAUUUUUGAUCUUCAACGAGGAAUUCCUAGUAAACGCAAGUCAUCAGCUUGCAUUGAUUACGUCCCUGCCCUUUGUACACACCGCCCGUCGCACCUACCGAUUGAAUGGUCCGGUGAAUCUUUAGGACUGUGGCUGAGGCCUUGCCUUGUGCGGGUCUGGCCGUGGGAAUUUAGUUAAACCUUACCAUUUAGAGGAAGGUGAAGUCGUAACA